rnacentral:tRNA from 1 species
CAGAGGGUAGUUUUUAGAAAAAUUCACAUUUUGGGGAUGUGCGGUCUCCGAGGAGUCCUCUGA